AAUUCCAGGGAGCACAAAAGAGGGCCGAGGAGACAGGGACACGCAAGCUUCAGGCACAAGCCCUACGCCGCCUCGCCUCGCCUGGUUGCUUGCUUGUCUUCGAAGAUCCAUAGUUAGUUGCACUACACCAGAAGAAUCAACCAAAGCUUCGGCCCGACUUAAUCGCCAUCCCUUGUUGUUGUUGCGCCUCGAUCGAUCUUGGCGCGGUGGUGACUAAUGGCGCACUGCGGCGGCGGUCAGGCGGCGUCCGUGGAGAGCCAUUUCCAGGGCCUGCUCGACGACGACGACAAGUACCGCGCAUUGUGCGGCGCGUUCGGGUACCUGCAGCAGCAGGAGUGGCCGGACCUCAGCGGCGCUUGCUACGCGGCCUUCGGCGCGCCACCACCACCGGGCAGCAGCAACGGCGCCGGCAACUCCUUCUCCUGCAGCGGUAGCGCCAGCAGCGGCGACGGGUCCACGAAGAGAAAACCUGACGCGUAUGUGGACGCAAAGGACGACUGCAAGAGGCCGAGAGGGAAGCAGCAGCUGUGCGACCCUGGCGAGGCUGAAGGAGCGGCGAAAGGCAGGCCGGAGAAACCCAAGGCGUGCGCCAGGAAGAAGCCGGAGGCGGCGGCCACCGGCCAGAAGACCGACUACAUCCACGUCCGAGCCCGGCGCGGGCAGGCCACGGACAGCCACAGCCUCGCCGAACGGGUGAGGCGGGAGCGGAUCAGCGAGCGGAUGAGGUACCUGCAGGAGCUGGUGCCCGGGUGCGACAAGGUCACUGGCAAGGCCGGCAUGCUCGACGAGAUCAUUAACUACGUCCAGUCCCUGCAGAAGCAGGUCGAGUUCCUGUCCAUGAAGAUCGCCGCCUCCAACCCGGUGGUGAACUUCAACAUCGUCGACGACCUCUUCGGCGGCAGGCGGAUGAACCAGGCGUGCGGCCCCGCGGCGGCCCUGCCCGCCAUGACGUUGCCGAUGCACCAUGCGCAGCUGGACCCGUCCUGCCUUCAGAUGAGCAGCACUACCAUGCAGCAGAUGCAGCAGCCGGCUGCUGGGUUCGGGCUGGACAUGCUCCUCAACAACCCGUACCCGGCGGCGCAGAGCGCGUCCCGGUCGGCGGCUGCCACGCCGGUCUCGGUGUCGGCCGCCGCGUCGGUCGAGUCAUCCCUCGAUGUGAAUGGAGCUGCUGCUUGGGACAUUGCGUCUCAGCAUUUGUUCAGUGGGUUUGACGCACAGUUUCAGUCAGUUCAAAGUGAGUAGCUGCUUCUCUGAAGCAAAGCUUGCAGGGUUACCUUGUACUGAUAUUCUUGUGUGAAAGAACAUAGAUACAGAGUUAGCCAAGGAAAAAAUAAGAUGUUGUUACAGUUAAGAUGAGGCCAGUGGUCAUCACGUACCUGCUAUACUGACAGAAGGUUAAAGAAUCUCAUUACAGAACUCUGACAAAAAAAAUGCGUCAAACAGUAUUUAUCUUGUUUCAUUUGUACUCGACUAAAAAUGAGUGCAGAUUUGGAAGAUGCAUGUGUAUAGUCAGUUGAGCACAGGAAGCAUAUGUAAUGAACGCAUUGAAACUUGAGUGACUGUUUGCUAGACAACCUCAAAAUGGAAUUGUAAGCGGGAUUAAUUCUCAUCCCUGGAGUUUUAAGUGCAGCUAUACGUGCGGCUGAAGAUUCUUUAUUCAUAGCAACUGUACUAAUGCAGUAUUCUGUCAGCAAUUAAAACAAAGCACAUUUGUGUGUGAAGUUAUAUUCUUGUAUUGCUAAUGUACCAAAUCAUAAGCAAUCCGCAAUUCUUCA